rnacentral:snRNA from 1 species
GUACUUACCUGGCAGGGGAGGUAUCAUGAUCAGGAAGGUGGUUUUCCCAGGGCGAGGCUUGUCCAUUGCACUCUGGAUGUGCUGACCUCUGUGAUUUCCCCAAAUGUGGGAAACUCAACCGCAUAAGUUUUGGUAAUGGGGGACUGCAUUCGCACUCUCCCCUG